CUGCUGCCUUCCGUAGGAGUUUGGGCCGUGUCUCAGUCCCAAUGUGGCCGAUCAACCUCUCAGUUCGGCUACGCAUCAUUGCCUUGGUAAGCCUUUACCCCACCAACUAGCUGAUGCGCCGCGGGCCCAUCCAAAAGCGGUAGCAUAGCCACCUUUUACAUAGUUACCAUGCGGUAACUAUGGUUAUGCGGUAUUAGCACCUGUUUCCAAGUGUUAUCCCCCUCUUUUGGGCAGGUUGCCCACGUGUUACUCACCCGUUCG
rnacentral:rRNA from 1 species